GAGAGAGAGAGAGAGCAGCCCGCCGGCCCAUUGAGGAAAGAUGGCUACAGUCACUGCAAACGGAGUGCAGCAAGAGAAUGGAUUCAGCACCACGAACAGCGCCGGCAGGAUGAACGGUCUUACCAUCGUCCAGAACACCAUUCCAAUGAAGGACCACGACGCCAUCAAGCUUUUCAUCGGCCAGAUUCCCAGAAACCUGGAGGAAAAAGACCUGAAACCCUUGUUUGAGGAAUUCGGAAAGAUAUACGAACUCACUGUACUGAAAGACAGAUUUACGGGAAUGCAUAAAGGAUGUGCCUUUCUUACAUACUGUGCCAGAGAGUCAGCACUGAAGGCCCAGAGCGCCCUCCAUGAACAGAAGACUCUGCCAGGGAUGAACCGGCCCAUCCAGGUGAAGCCAGCCGACAGCGAAGGACGGGGAGAAGACAGGAAGCUGUUUGUGGGGAUGCUCGGCAAGCAGCAGAGCGAAGACGAUGUCCGGCGGCUGUUCGAGACCUUCGGCCAGAUUGAGGAGUGCACCGUCCUUCGAGGGCCUGAUGGGGCCAGUAAGGGCUGUGCCUUUGUUAAGUUCUCCAGCCACGCUGAAGCGCAAGCGGCCAUCAACAGCCUGCAUGGUGGACAAACGAUGCCUGGUGCCUCGUCCAGCCUGGUGGUCAAAUUUGCAGACACCGAUAAGGAGAGGACCCUGCGCAGGAUGCACCAGAUGGCAGGCCAGCUCGGCAUCUUCAGUCCCAUGACCAUCCAGUUUGGGGCCUAUGGCGCCUACUCUCAUGCUGUAAGUCUCAGCCCGGCGGGGGAGGAGACGCAGAUGAUGCAACAGCAAGCAGCCCUGAUGGCAGCAACACAAGGGUCCUACCUGAACCCAAUGGCAGCCAUUGCUGCCGCACAAAUGCAGCAAAUGGCAGCUUUCAAUGUCAACGGUCUGGUGGCUACUCCCAUGACACCAUCCUCAGGCACCAGCACACCCCCAGGCAUUUCUGCCACAGCAGUGCCCAGCAUAGCCACCCCUAUCGGGGUCAAUGGAUUUAGUGCCCUCCCGCCUCAAAGCAACGGCCAGCCCACAUCUGAGCCUAUCUACACCAAUGGUAUUCAUCCUUACCCAGCACAGAGUCCAACGGUGACUGACCCUCUCCAACAGGCUUAUGCUGGCGUCCAGCACUACGCAGCAGCCUACCCUGCCGCCUAUGCGCCAAUCAGCCAAGCGUUCCCCCAGCAACCAACCAUCAUUCCCCAGCAACAGAGGGAAGGGCCAGAAGGUUGCAACCUGUUUAUUUAUCACCUGCCCCAGGAGUUUGGAGACGCUGAGCUCAUGCAAAUGUUCCUACCUUUCGGCAACGUCAUCUCUGCCAAAGUAUUUGUGGACCGAGCAACUAAUCAGAGCAAAUGCUUCGGCUUUGUAAGUUUUGAUAACCCGUCCAGUGCUCAAGCCGCUAUCCAGGCGAUGAAUGGCUUUCAGAUAGGCAUGAAGAGGCUGAAGGUGCAGCUAAAGCGGCCAAAGGAUGCCAACCGACCUUAUUGACUCGUCUGCUGUCCAUACCCAGUGUGAGGUGGCCUUUCCACGCUAUAAGCCACACACCCCCCGACACCAGUCAUGGGGCCAAGUUCCCACAGCUGAUGAAGGGCCACAACACCUUAUUUCCACAAGUGCAGUAAAAGUACAAAGACUUCUUGUUCUGCUACAUAUCAUGAAGGAAGGGUGGUCCCUUGAUCCUCCUGGAAAGCCGCUGAAAGAUUGGGUGACUGAAAGAAGGAUCCCAGAGUUGUUGGGUUUUUUUUCCUCUAUUUUUUUUAAGUUUAUUUUUUUCUUUCUUCGCAAAUGCCUCUUUUUUCCCCGUUUUUUGCUUUGGUGUAUGUGGAAGAAGAUUUUUUGAAGAGACCAACUUUUUGCUGCUGUUUUUUAGACAUGAUGGGGAAAAAAAAAACCUUUAUAGACUCAUUAUGCUCAAAGCAUGCAUACCAACACCAGAUAUAGAUACACACAUACAAACAGAAGAUAAACCAAACACACAUUUAAGCUACAGUAAACAAAUGAAAAACUGAAAAGGAAAAAAAAACAUUAAAAAACUUACUUUGUAUAUGUAUAGAUACGUGCAAAUGCCAACAACAGUACUGAAGCAAAGUCAUGAGUUCACACACACACACACAUAUACACACAAAAAACACACACACCAGCCUGCUGCCAUUUUGGUUUUUGUGCCUACACAGGUGUUGUGCUCUGUGACAGGGCAAGCUCUGGAUCAAAGAAGAAAACAAGAAGAAAAGGAGAGAAGUGGAGAAUCCAGGAUAAUUAACAUGCAUCAUUCCUUAGGAAAUAGGGACCAAAGGACUAAACGCUUUUUAAAAGAUUAUAAAUAUAUAAAUAUAUAAAUAUAUAUUUAAAAAAAAACUCAUACCUUGUAGCUGCAAGUAUUACAAUUUACUUAUAGUCAAAAAAAAUCAUUAAAUCAAUAUCCAGUGGCCUACUGUAAGUAUGAAUAAAAGAAAAUGGAAAUAAUGUAUUAAAAAAAAGGAAAAAAAAAAGACAUGGAAUCGUAGUGUAGGGGCUGAUCUUUUGCUCUGGAUGCUGAUUUAGCACCAAGUUGUAGAAUAGUGAAGUAGUCUAGAAAAAAAUGUAGAUUUGCUAACUUUUGCUGUUGUUUAAAGAAAAAAAAAAUAAAAGUAAUACUUGAAGCUGUAAUGAAAAAGGGGUAAAUGAAGGGAUGAAAGGAAAAAAAAAACUGAUCCACCCUCGUGGCAACAAGUCUGUUUCUCUUGGAUGUUAAAAGGUACCAGCCACUGGAUAUCUCACUCAUCGUGAUGUAUAAGUCACCAGAUUCUCUGACAGCUAUGAACAGACUGUUCUGGAAGACAAAAAAAAGAGAAAAAAAAAGGAUGACAAGUGAAAAAAGACUGAACUUACUGAUGUCUGUGCUGGUCAGAGUGCAGAUGUUUAAGGCUACUUUGCUGGCCUUUGUGUUCAAGUGACAAUCCACUGUAAAGACCAAGUAAAAAUGGACAUGGGGUGUCUUGUACUUUUUUUUUUGUUUUGUUUUUUUUGUUUUUUUUUUCCUCAAACCACAAGUUGUUAGAAGGAGUCGAAAGGGAUCCGACUGGUCACAAGGGAAACAGCGGAGCAGGGAUAAAGGAAGGUGUGAGGCGACAGCUACUGAAACUGCCAGGAGAAUGAACUCAGUUUAGUAAUGAGUUGGCCCAUGUGUGGUGUUCCCUCAAACAAAAAGGAUGCCGAUCAACCAGGACAUCUGCAAGUGACUUAUCAAGACUGCGCGUGUCCACUGGUGAUGCUGCAAAACUUCAAACUGAGACCCAUUUCAUCUUGUCUUCUUGGCAGAUAAAGAGAAACAUUUCUCUGAGGACAAGUUCAGUUCAACACUGAUGGCAAAGAAGCUCGGGCUUUUGGAGCUUUUUCAGCUCCGACAAAUAUAAUAUAUACAAAUUCAAGUGUUAACAUGUUCACCGACCUGCUUUUCUUAAAGAAAUUACGAGAAAAAAAACAUUCAAUAUAUCACUCAAAAAGGCAAAAUACUAUAUAAAUGUUAACAGUCACUCUUAACUGUGGUUCAUGCCUGUAGCUUCUCUGACUCUGACGGAGCGAAGCGAUCCAGUGCUGUCAUGUCUUGGAGUCCACAAGCCUUUCUUUUGACUGUUUUAGGGCUGUGCGAGCAGGCUCCUCUCUCCUACCAGAUCAAUAUGUUUGGAGUGGAUCUAGAGGGAGGAGCGAUGCUGUUUCAGUCACUACGAACACUUCCCAAUUUUCCCCGCAGAACACCAGCUCACAUCCGCACACCAGCCCUUCUGAGCACUGACAGCUGGCAUUAAGAGGCAGGAUAAGGCAAGAAGGAGAGGAAGUCAACAACUCAUCACAGCAAGAGCCUUCUGCGUUGUGUCUAAGUUGUUGCAGAUUAAUUGAACCAAUAAAAUUAGAAGCUAUAAUCAAGUCCAUGGUGACAAACAUUAUAGAAUUGGGCUAUAUGCUUUUCCAAGACCCCAGACUUAAGGGUUAAUGAGGACUGAAUUUGAUACAUCUGGGAACCGGUCCAACCAGUUCAUACUUCCUACUGAGACUCUUCUUCUUGCUUUUACCCUCUCCCCUCUUUCAUUUUUGAAAUCUGUUUCUGUUUUCUGACAUGUUGCAUAUCAGAAACGCAAGGAUUGAUCAAAUGUGCCAGCAUAUUACAGUUUUUUAAUGCACUGCCUUUGUCAUUUAAAUAAGCUCGUGGUCUUGAUAUCAGUCCAUGAUAUCAGCAUGCCUUGUACCGCCUACUUUUUCGCUGCAGCUUACAGCAGCCAUGCCUUUCCAAACCGCAGCACGUCUCUCCCCUUAGAAGAGCAUUUUCAAACCUGGCUAAUGCCUGUGCUCUCUACCCUUCAAUUAUCUCCCGCACCAUAUUAGACAUGCUAUUUCACCUUUCCCUCUAAUCACACUGUAAUCAUCGGCCUCUAUACAUUAGCAGCAACCGAGUGAAAAAUCACUGGGAUAAUCACUUGGCCCAAAUGACGGGAAAGAUGGUCCCCUGCAUGCACAUGGAUGACAAAAGGAAGAUUAGGGAGAAUUAUGUUUGUGCCUACUCCCUGGCAAGGCUGCUGACAGCUGACCUGGCAAAAAUAAUACAGCUGAAUUAACUGAAGAGACGACGGAGGAUCGGAACAAAACCAUCCGUAUUAUACAGUAACAAGGUGUUAAUGUUGCACAUCAGAUUGACAUAAAAAUAACAGAAGAGAAAUGCAGUGAGCAACAUGUUUUGUUUUUGCUUUUACGUGACCAAAAAAAAGGCCACAGCAGUUGCUCAAAACUGGGUCAAAACCAACCAAUCUUGCUGGAAGUGUUGAGUCUGACAAAAGCAGCUGCCUGCGUUAUUGUGAUUCUUUUUUUCAGCAACAAAAAUGGCAUCGCAGCAGUCAACGACAGAAGUCGCCGUGUUUCACAAAACAACUUCUCAUUUCUGCCUUUUCCUUGCUCGGAUCCCUGCAACGACACCUGCAAAGCACACUUUUGUUCAAGAAUAACCUGAUAAUAUGAAGCACAGCUAUCCAGAUUCAAAAUGAUGUCUAUCUUUUUUUUAUUUUUUUUUUAUUCCCCCCAAUGCAUUUUAAAAGGGCAUACAUGUGAAAACCCAGUUCCUCUACCCCUGAUUAAAUCCUGCGGAAAUGAAGGAAGCCGUAUGAAUUAGUUCAAAACCGAGCCAUGUUCUCCAAACAAUUUGUGUUCAUUUUCUAUGUGAAGCUGAACUGAUCAAUGGGCAGACUAAUGUUCCAUGGGCAAUCAGGUGUACUGUUCUUGUCUCGGCGAUCUCCAGAAUAUGCUCGGUAACAUGAAUCUUGCAUGCAUGCUCCGCUGAACUUCUCUGUCCUCUAUCGGAUGCUGUACUCGCUCCCACUACUAAUAGCACGUCGAAUCCCUAGUGGGCCAAAACCCAGCCAAGCCUCCUACCGUGCUGCCUGGCUUGGCUAAUAACGCAGCUCUUGUGUAGCAUAACCGCUAUGCUACGCCAGGACUAAAUUUGAUCAUGUAAUAUUAACAUUUCAAUACUAUUAACAAGGGUGCUUCUACAUUUACAUCCUUGGAAGAUUGCUGUUGAAGUGACAGGCAUUAAAAGCCAGGGACAGCAGUGUAACAUUCAAGGGGACUUAAGAAAUAAGUGGAAAAAGUGUGUUUUGUGCUCAUUGUCCAUUUAUUUAUUUAUGUAUUUAUUAUCUACUUUAUUGCACAUUUUACUUCCUAUAUUGUCUCUAGAUUAAUACCAGUGUGGUUCUCAGUCCACAGUAUCUUUCGCCUCCAUGAGCACUAUGAAAUGUCAACCCUGCGGGCACACAAAAAGUUUUAGCUGGAAUCUGAUUUGACAUCUGCCUUCAAAUUUACCACGAGGUAAUAGGAAUUCACAUUUUACAGAGAAAGAAUAGGGAUGCAUCCAAUUAAGAUAACCUUUCUUUUGAUAUGUAUAGCUCCAAAGGUGUCUCGGUUACACUAUACUGCCUUUAUCAAGCAUCUAACCAUCUCUAAUCAUCACGGAGGUGGAGGGUAUAUUUAAAUUCAACAGUUGUUUCCUUUUUUUUUGGUUUGUUUUGGUUUUUCUUUCACAGUGAUUUACAAAAUUUGCAUGUACCAAUUUAGAAAUUUGGAGACUGUAUAUAUCAUACCCAUUUCAGCUGCCAAUACACCACCGCUCACAAAGCUUAGAGUGGCACGCAUCCUCGGAGGCUCGUGGCCAAUGGCAGCACAGAGCGGAGGACUGCUUGAGCAUGAACAUCUAACCCCCUGGGUGCAUAACAUUCACCCUGAAAAUAGCAGUGAUUGUCAAGAAAAGGAAGUGAAAUGUAAUUGACUGAAAGUGGAGAGAUAAUUAAAGGAACCUGUUGGACAGGAGGGAAGAAAUUAAUGCCUCUCAUUUAAUAGCUGCUUUACGAGAGAGAGCAUUUCCGUCAUCUCAUUUUUGGUGCAGAAAACGUCUCGCUGUGGAAAUGGGAUUUUGCAUAGGAAAAAGGUGGAGGCAAUGAUGGUGGAAAUGGGCACUGGGUGGAAGGAAGGGGCGCUGUGUGCUAAACUGAAACUCCACAAAAUCACUCCCAAUACUCAGGCAUCAGGCAUAUUGAUGUCACGAUUAGUGGAGAGGUUCAGAGCCUUGGCUUACCCCUGAUCCUGGAGGUCGAGCAGAUAAAGAUGAGGACAAUGUUGGAGCUGCGCAAACUGUACUGCAUUCUGGGGGGGGGGGGGGCAGAGCCAGCAAACAUGUUGAUAAACCACCUAAAUCGUGCUUCGGACUCACAAGAAGAGCAUUCAAUUCCAAGGGUAACAAGCAAACAACAAAGAGACCAUCUUCCAGCCAACGACAUGCAGUGGAUUGCUGGAAGUGUGGUUCUAUACGCUUAACUACACAACUGAGAGUAAUGAAGGCAAAGACUUUUUUUUAUUAUUCCUUCUUAAUGUAAAUAGCCUUUAAAAUACAAAAAAAAAAAAACAGGGCAAGAUUGUACAGCAACUUGUGUUGAGAAGUCCAGCUCUGUGGGACAAUGAUGUCAUUAUAAAAUGUAUCCACAGCAGUGCAGGGAUUUAGGAGAGUUUUAGUCCUUUUAAGGCCUUAAGGUCUGGGCUGUGAACAUGCACCCUACAGCUCCAAGCGUCGGACCAAGGCGUAGAGAGUGUCUGACUUCAUGUCAAACCUGAGCCACGGCCCUGAAGGGAUCCGUUAAUUAAGAUUCUGUGUACACCGACAUGUCAUGAUUUUUUCUGACAGAAGAAAGAUCGCCUGCGCAGUAAUUGGAUUAGUCCAAUUUGGCCUGAUGAACAGAUAUGACAGUAACAGCAGAGUGUAUCUGUCUGCAUGCUUUCUGCUUGACAGUGUGAAAAAAAAUACUAGAAAGGAAGCAUCAGCUAUCACCAAACUUUUGCAAAGUUAUUUGGAAGCGACAGCUUAGGCUUUACAGCAUUUAAAGAGGCUAGUUUUACAAGAUGAAACUCCAGGAUACAAUUUGUUUAGCAUGUACAUAAACCGUUUUGCAAUCAAGCAUUUAAUACAAAAAGGUUGAAGCUAUAUCUACACGGUUGGGCGAGUUUGGAGGAAGGGGGAGAACAAGAGAUCCACUAUUCUGAGUAGAUCCCAGCAGAACACCGGCUUGCUUGACCCAAUCUGCCACAGCUCUCCUAACCACACAGCUGCAUUAUACCUGUACAUACAAUAUAACUUAUUUUUCAAUUCUGUUUAUCAUUCUUUAUAGCCGUACGAUAGAUCAUGUUAAAACAUUAAAAAAAAGAUUAAAAAAAUAAAAGAAAAGUUAAUAUAUUUCAGUGAAAGUAAGAAAAGGAAAUAUGAAAUAAUUUAUCAAAAACAGAUGAUAAAAGGAUUUUAUUUCUUGUAGAUUGACGCACUGAUGUUAACAAAUGAGAUUUUAUACUCAUGUUGGCAAACAGUUCUUUGUUUGUGUUAUUUUUUUGCUGAAGCUGGGGUAGAACCAUUGUCAUUGAGGUUUAUUCAGAUGUGCUUUAAUCUUGUUUUUAUUUCCCUCUCUUUUCCUUUUCUUUCGCUGCACAAUCCCUGUGUGAAAUCCCACGUGCAUGGACAAGUUUAAAGAGAUUUUACUUCUUGAAUGAUGUUAAACCAAUACAAGAAUUAGCAAACUGCACCGGUAAAAGGAUUCAAAUGGAUCAGCAAUGUUUAAAAAUAAAAAUUAUUUAAACCCUUUUGUUGUAUUGAGGAAACAAUGAAAAAAACAUAUUUGAAUAAAUUAGGAAACAAAACAGAAGAGGCAAAAAAAAGAAAAAAACUUUACCAUCACGUUGGUUUGGGGACUUAUGCUGUCACAUUUUGCUCUUUCACCAUAUUUGGUUUCCUGUAAUGGUCUUCUUGUUAUGUCUCUCUUUUUUUUUCUUACUUGUAUAUUUUUUCAAAGGUUAUUCUUAAUCACUGGCAUAUCUCAAAGUUUCAUCUUCUAUGUUCCUGCCUAUGAGACGACACAGUUUCUUACCUAAUGUGACUCCAUCCACUGAAGACACUGUGCCAACAGUAUAUUGUUCCACACUGCUUUCCUCCCGUCAAGUUGGUUUGUUAAAUUGAGGAGGAAAUUCUGCCUUAACCCAGCCUGUUCUAUUUGACAGCACUACCUGUGAACAGUGGUCACCCACUGUACUCUGGGGAUGCCAAAUGCUCUUGGAAACAAACACACUGAGUUUGACUCAAGCCCAUUCUGACACAAAUAUGGAUGUGGUCAUCCACCUCCAUUUUCAUUGGUUACAAGGACCAAAAUGUAAACAAACUCAGCUACACUGAGCAGUUUGCUUCAAUCAAGUGUACAAUGAGAGCCUUUAAAGUGUUCAUAUUUAGCCAUAGGUAAUUUAUACACCUUUGAUCUUUAUAUCAUGAACCACUACAUUCCCAGCUUCAUUGUAUAAUUUCACUGUUUUCGUUUGUUGUCAUCCGAAAUUAAUCCAUCACAAUAUAUUUAAGAUUUUAAAUUUGCAAUGAAAGAAAUAACCAUGUCUUUUUAUUAUUUAAACAAACUGAGUCACUGUUUUCUGUCCUUUUGUUUCAAACAGAGAUGUAACUUAACUGAAUUAGCGUUGGCUCGGGUCCGUUUUCCUGAUUCGGGAUGAUAUUUCCCGUAGUGCUCCUGAACUCUGUAGUUCUCUAGUUCAUUAUAUUCUGCUUAGACUAAAAUAAAGCACAGUCCUGUAGAA